UACGAAGGGGGCUAGCGUUGCUCGGAAUCACUGGGCGUAAAGCGCACGUAGGCGGAUUGUUAAGUCAGGGGUGAAAUCCUGGAGCUCAACUCCAGAACUGCCUUUGAUACUGGCGAUCUUGAGUCCGGGAGAGGUGAGUGGAACUGCGAGUGUAGAGGUGAAAUUCGUAGAUAUUCGCAAGAACACCAAUGGCGAAGGCAGCUCUCUGGGACGGUACUGACACUGAGACGCGAAAGCGUGGGGAGCGAACAGG
rnacentral:rRNA from 1 species